CCACACUUUAAAAAACUGUCCACGUGAACUGUAAGCAAGUCUAGCGCUGUGACUGAGMUGGUGUUUUCAYUUUUGGACACUGGAACGSGAGUCAGCAGGACGWAGGUUGGUCUGUUGUAAUGCAAGUUAUGAUGGACUAGCUGAUGAACUUUUGUUUUUAAACCCUUACCUAAAUACUGAUUUAUACUGUGGGGACGAAAGUCCUUGCUUUUACUAGAUAACAACUUUCAGCAGUGGAUGUCUAGGCUCGCACAUCGAUGAAGAACGCUGCGAACUGCGAUACGUAAUGCGAAUUGCAGAAUUCAGUGAGUCAUCGAAAUUUUGAACGCAUAUUGCACUUUCGGGUUAUGCCUGGAAGUAUGUCUGUAUCAGUGUCCGUAAAUCAAACUUGCCUUUCUUUUUCUGUGUAGUCAGGGAUGGAAUGUGCAGAUGUGAAGUGUCUCGCAUGGUUGCGUUCGUUUUUUCGAUCGASAAUCUGUCGAGUCCUUUUAAAUGGACMCGGUCUUUUCUAUGGUUUCUWUGAAGUGUAAUGGUUGGAAGGMAUGAUUUUCGGAUUGCUGGYGGCUUUUGGCGACUUCGGUAUGAACGUAUGGAGACUAGCUCAAUUSRUGGUAUGUUAGGCUUCGGCUCGACAAUGUUGCGUAAUUGUGUGUGGUCUUUGUUUGUGCCUUGAGGUGUACUAGAGGUUGUCGGKUUGAACCGUAAGUGAUUGUUUAUAGAGCAUUUUC
rnacentral:rRNA from 1 species